rnacentral:rRNA from 1 species
GGAGGUAGUGACAAGAAAUAACAAUACGGGGCUUUACGUCUUGUAAUUGGAAUGAUGGGAAUCUAAACCUCUUCCAGAGUAUCAAUUGGAGGGCAAGUCUGGUGCCAGCAGCCGCGGUAAUUCCAGCUCCAAUAGCGUAUAUUAAAAUUGUUGCAGUUAAAAAGCUCGUAGUUGAAUUUCUGCUGCAUCGCCUUUUCUCCUUUACGAGUUUUGGCAUUGUGGCUUAUUUCGGAUUUGCUUGCAUUUCCGAAUGUUUACUUUGAGAAAAUUAGAGUGCUCAAAGCAGGCUUUUGCCUUGAAUAGUUUAGCAUGGAAUAAUAAAGUAGGACUUUGGUUCUAUUUUGUUGGUUUUAKGUACCAAAGUAAUGG